GUGCUCACUUUGCCUGCACAUAUACUAAAACUGGAAUAUUACAGAGAAAAUUAACAUGGCCCCAUUGUAAGGAUAACAUUCAAAUCUAUGUAACAUCCAUAUGUUU